rnacentral:lncRNA from 1 species
CUCAAGUCCAGAGUAAGCAGUUUCCACCCCCGAAAGUGCCCCUGUGACAACACCGGGGAGAAUGCCUCAUGAUGAAAUCGGAUGUGUAAUGUACAUGCUGUACAAAUCGGAUACAAGAACAACACAUGCUGAACCCCUCAAUGUUGACCAAGGCAUGGUUCUUUGAACACUGGCCCAUUCCAUUCCUUCAGAGCUUGGCUCAGGUGCGACCUCCUCAAAGAGACUUUUCCUGGCUCCCUGUACUGAGUGAUUUCCUCCACAACUCUCUCAAGCCACCUGUUUACAUCCUUCCUAGUGUUCAUCAAAACCUCAGGUGAUCUUUUGGUUUUAUACAUUUCUUACUGGUUAAGUCUUUCAUUAUAAAAUAUUUUUC